rnacentral:rRNA from 1 species
AGAGUUUGAUCCUGGCUCAGGAUGAACGCUGGCGGCGUGCCUUAUACAUGCAAGUUGAGCGGUAACAGUUCCUCACUUUUCUUUUGAAUCUUAAGUAUUCGAAGGCGAAGUGAGGAAGCUGACGAGCGGCGAACGGGUGAGUAAUACGUAGGAACCUGCCUCAAAGUGAGGGAUAACCUAUCGAAAGGUAGGCUAAUACCGCAUAUGGUCUUUAGAUUAAAGCCUUCGGGCGCUUUGAGAAGGGCCUGCGCAAGAUUAGUUUGUUGGUGAGGUAAUGGCUCACCAAGACGAUGAUCUUUAGCUGGUUUGAGAGGAUGAUCAGCCACACUGGAACUGAGAUACGGUCCAGACUCCUACGGGAGGCAGCAGUAGGGAAUAUUCCACAAUGGGCGAAAGCCUGAUGGAGCAACGCCGCGUGCAGGAUUAAGGCCUUCGGGUUGUAAACUGCUUUUAUAUGUGAAGAAUAUGACGGUAGCAUAUGAAUAAGCCUCGGCUAACUCCG